GACGAACGCUGGCGGCGUGCUUAACACAUGCAAGUCGAACGGUGAAGGGACCAGCUUGCUGGUUCUGGAUGAGUGGCGAACGGGUGAGUAACACGUGAGUAACCUGCCCCCUUCUUCUGGAUAACCGCAUGAAAGUGUGGCUAAUACGGGAUAUUCUGGGUCUGUCGCAUGGCGGGCCCGGGAAAGAUAUUGCUUCGGUGGGGGAUGGGCUCGCGGCCUAUCAGCUUGUUGGUGGGGUGAUGGCCUACCAAGGCGGUGACGGGUAGCCGGCCUGAGAGGGUGGACGGCCACACUGGGACUGAGACACGGCCCAGACUCCUACGGGAGGCAGCAGUGGGGAAUAUUGCACAAUGGGCGCAAGCCUGAUGCAGCGACGCCGCGUGAGGGAUGGAGGCCUUCGGGUUGUAAACCUCUUUCGCCAGUGAAGCAGGCCUGCUCCUUGUGGGUGGGUUGACGGUAGCUGGAUAAGAAGCGCCGGCUAACUACGUG
rnacentral:rRNA from 1 species